rnacentral:lncRNA from 1 species
UAAAGAGCAUAAGGGAUUAACAACCACGACAUGCAAAGAACAUAAUAAAAGAAUUAAAAUUCUUCGUGACCCAUUCGUGGAAACCCAACAUCUAUUCUAUUUUAAAAGAAAAUAAAAUAAAUAAAAAUAGGACAAAAAAAAUGCCCAAAACCGCCUAAACAGGCUGAAAAAACUGAUCCAGCCCUUGUUUGGGCCCAAAAGCCACGGCCCAGCCGCCCAAGCCCAUUCAGCAGCCC